rnacentral:lncRNA from 1 species
UUGACAAAACAUGAACAUUAACAAUAAAAAUAGCGAAAUGAACAACAUGAAUGUUGUUAAUCAAGUUGUUGAAAAAGAGUAUAGCAAUAGCCUUAGAAACAAUUUUGAAGCGAGCGAAACCAAACAAACGGUUCAAACGUAUAAACACAUACAUAACAAUAUAGUGAAAAGUAUGUAUGAUCAUGUGGGAACAAACCAAACAGCUGCCGCAGUUGAUAAUAAUAACCAUUUUCAUGAUGUAUAUGGUAGUAAAGCUAGUAGUCACAAUUACAGUAGAGAUAACUACAUAAAAAACAAUAUUAAUACAUUUUCCAGGAUAAAAAAAAAACAAUUUCAAAACAAAAAAUUAAUAGCAAACCAUAACAACUAUGUUAAUAAUCACAACAACAACAAAACAAUGAAUAAUAUUUACCAGUAUCCUUGUAACAGUAAUAACAAUUAUAAAUUGUUUAAUACAAAGAACGAAACAAAGAGUAAUGAUAUUACAAGUCAAUAUGAAACAUUCAGAUUAAGUAGUAAACAUUUUAACAGGGGAGGGCUUAUACUACCUGAUAGAAAUAAUACACACGAACGUCCAACUUACACAAAUAAUUAUAAUGUUGAAAUAUUGAAAGAUCAAGAAUCAAAAAUAAGCAAAGAAUGUAGUGAAGUUUCAUCUGAAAAUAGCCUAGAAAAAAAUAGUGAUACGACAAAACAAAACAGUACAAUUAAAAAAAAUAUAAAAACAACUUAUAAAAAUAAAAAAUAUAACGACUUUAUCGAUCGUGAAAAAAUAAUAAAGAAUACACUUGAUUUUAUUUCAUCUAGUCGUACAUUAGAUGGUAAGAAGAGAUUUUGUUACUCCUCUUCUGAUGAAGAACUAGAAGAAGAAUGUCAGAAGGAGCAGUUAACAGUUGGAAACAGUAUCUUAUGUAACGUAUGUAAUGAAAAAAAUUAUAAAUAUACAUGUCCAUAUUGUGAAAAAAAAUAUUGUUCAUUAAUAUGCUCAAAAAAACACAAAACAAUAUUUAAUUGUAAAAAUAAAUUAAAAAAAAAAAUAAAAAUAAAAAAUGUGAACAAAGCAAAUUACGACGAAGAUACAUUAUAUCAUGAUUUUACAUUAUUAAAUAACGUCGAAAAGGUAGUAGAACG